UACGGAAGGCAGCAGUGGGGAAUAUUGCACAAUGGGCGCAAGCCUGAUGCAGCCAUGCCGCGUGUAUGAAGAAGGCCUUCGGGUUGUAAAGUACUUUCAGUCGUGAGGAAGGUGUUAAGGUUAAUAACCUUAGCAAUUGACGUUAGCGACAGAAGAAGCACCGGCUAACUCCGUGCCAGCAGCCGCGGUAAUACGGAGGGUGCGAGCGUUAAUCGGAAUUACUGGGCGUAAAGGGCACGCAGGCGGUUAAUUAAGUUGGAUGUGAAAUCCCCGGGCUUAACCUGGGAAUGGCAUUCAAGACUGGUUAGCUAGAGUCUUGUAGAGGGGGUUAGAAUUCCAUGUGUAGCGGUGAAAUGCGUAGAGAUGUGGAGGAAUACCGGUGGCGAAGGCGGCCCCCGGACAAAGACUGACGCUCAUGUGCGAAAGCGUGGGGAGCAAACAGGGAUUAGAUACC
rnacentral:rRNA from 1 species